rnacentral:lncRNA from 1 species
GAGUCCACACACUCCAUGCCCACACUCGUGGCAUCCUUUAGCCAGAAAAUAGCACUUCUCGACAUGGAGUAGACAAUCCAAAGAAACCAAGAAAAUGUCAAAGGUGAGUCAAGAGAUAUCAACUUCCUGAUCUUUGACGCAAAAUAUACUUCCUGGAAGCAAAAAUAACAAACACUUCGGAGUAGACUCCAAACCCACGAAAAUGAACAAAAGAUGAACACUUGCAAAAAAAACCUUAAAAUGUAAAUAAAGUAGAAAAACAAGAAAAAGAC